UACGGAGGGUGCAAGCGUUAUCCGGAUUCACUGGGUUUAAAGGGUGCGUAGGUGGGCAGGUAAGUCAGUGGUGAAAUCUCCGGGCUUAACCCGGAAACUGCCGUUGGUACUAUUUGUCUUGAAUAUUGUGGAGGUAAGCGGAAUAUGUCAUGUAGCGGUGAAAUGCUUAGAUAUGACAUAGAACACCAAUUGCGAAGGCAGCUUACUACACAAUGAUUGACACUGAGGCACGAAAGCGUGGGGAGCAAACAGG
rnacentral:rRNA from 1 species